rnacentral:rRNA from 1 species
GACGAACGCUGGCGGCGUGCUUAACACAUGCAAGUCGAACGGAAAGGCCCUGCUUUUGUGGGGUGCUCGAGUGGCGAACGGGUGAGUAACACGUGAGUAACCUGCCCUUGACUUUGGGAUAACUUCAGGAAACUGGGGCUAAUACCGGAUAGGAGCUCCUGCUGCAUGGUGGGGGUUGGAAAGUUUCGGCGGUUGGGGAUGGACUCGCGGCUUAUCAGCUUGUUGGUGGGGUAGUGGCUUACCAAGGCUUUGACGGGUAGCCGGCCUGAGAGGGUGACCGGAGACCUUGGGCCUGAGAUACGGACCAGAGUGCUACGGGAGGCAACAGUGGGGAAUCUUGCACAAUGGGAGGAAGCCGGAUGCAGCAACGCCGCGUGCGGGAUGACGGCCUUCGGGUUGUAAACCGCUUUCGCCUGUGACGAAGCGUGAGUGACGGUAAUGGGUAAAGAAGCACCGGCUAACUACGUG